rnacentral:lncRNA from 10 species
CUGCACAAGCUCUCUCUCUUUGCCUGCUGCCAUCCAUGUAAGAUGUGACUUGCUCCUCCUUGCCUUCUGCCAAGAUUGUGAGGCUACCUCAGCCACGUGGAACUUUGCCCGGGACUCCCAGGUUGAAGAUCAUGAGCAUGCCCUGAUGAGCCAAGGCAUGCAACCACAGGGGAACCUAAGUGCUUGGACUGAGGAGUGGGGACUGAAAUAAGAAGCGGACACUGCAGGGCAGGAUCAGGAUCCAAUCAGAUCGAGCCCUGGCAUCACCUCAUGGCAGGAUCUAGUCAGAUCGUGGCUUUUGACAUCACUUCAUUGUGAAAUCCAAUCAGAUCACACCUUAUUACCCUAUCCUUAUAAAACCGGACCUAGCCCCCAGCUCGAGGAGGCACUGCUUUGGGAGUUAUCCCAGGUGUUCUUGUUACUAGUUGCAAGGAAUAAAAUCCUCUUGCUAAAUCCUCCUUGGUUGUGCAGAUGUUGGCAUGGAUGUGGAGAGAAGGGAACACUUACGCUUUGUUGGUGAGGAUGUAAAUUAGCUCAACUCUGUGAUAAACAGUAUGGAGAGUUUUCAAAGAACUAAAAAUAGAACUUCUACUCAACCCAGCAAUCCUAUGAGUGCAUGAGUGGGUAUCUACCCAAAGGAA